GUUGUAUGGUUAAGUGACUAAGCGUACACGGUGGAUGCCUUGGCAGUCAGAGGCGAUGAAGGACGUAUUAACUUGCGAUAAGCCCAGAUUAGGUAGUAAAAACCUUUUGAGUCUGGGAUUUCCGAAUGGGGAAACCCACUUACAUAAGUAAGUAUCUUGUUGUGAAUACAUAGCAGCAAGAGGCAAACCGGGGGAACUGAAACAUCUAAGUACCCCGAGGAAGAGAAAUCACCGAGAUUCCGAAAGUAGCGGCGAGCGAAUUGGAUUAGCCCUUAAGCUUUUAAUGAUGCAGGUGAAGGCUCUGGAAAGUGCCGCAAUAAAGGGUGAUAGCCCGUAACCGAACAUCAUAAUCAGUGAAAUCGAGUAGGGCGGGCACGUGAUAUCCUGUCUGAAUAUGGGGGGACCAUCC
rnacentral:rRNA from 1 species